UACGGAGGGUGCAAGCGUUAUCCGGAUUCACUGGGUUUAAAGGGUGCGUAGGCGGGCAGGUAAGUCAGUGGUGAAAUCUUCAAGCUUAACUUGGAAACUGCCAUUGAUACUAUCUGUCUUGAAUGUUCUGGAGGUUAGCGGAAUAUGUCAUGUAGCGGUGAAAUGCUUAGAUAUGACAUAGAACACCUAUUGCGAAGGCAGCUAACUACGGAAAUAUUGACGCUGAGGCACGAAAGCGUGGGGAUC
rnacentral:rRNA from 1 species